rnacentral:misc_RNA from 1 species
AAGUCGUAACAAGGUUUCCGUAGGUGAACCUGCGGAAGGAUCAUUAACACGUAUCCAACGUUAAAACCCCCCGUGAACCUUUAUUGUGGCACGCCUAUCCGUUAGAAAGUGGCAAUCCCUGGUAAAUCAUCGCCGAACAGUUUUGAUUCAGGGACUUCUGCGUGGGUAGGACAACUGCGCGAGCAAGUGGCCUGGCAUCCCUCUGCUUGUUAGUGUCUGAAAGUGUCACUAGCUCUGUACGGGUGGCGCACCGGGUCAAUGGGCCCUCGGCCCUAAUCACCUUUGCAUGAAAACGGGCCUGCGCCUAAUUGUGCGGCCACCAAACUCGAACAACUGUUAACAAUGGAUAUCUUGGUUCUC